UACGUAGGGUGCAAGCGUUAAUCGGAAUUACUGGGCGUAAAGCGUGCGCAGGCGGCUUUGCAAGACAGAUGUGAAAUCCCCGGGCUCAACCUGGGAACUGCAUUUGUGACUGCAAGGCUGGAGUGCGGCAGAGGGGGAUGGAAUUCCGCGUGUAGCAGUGAAAUGCGUAGAUAUGCGGAGGAACACCGAUGGCGAAGGCAAUCCCCUGGGCCUGCACUGACGCUCAUGCACGAAAGCGUGGGGAGCAAACAGGAUUAGAACGUA
rnacentral:rRNA from 1 species